rnacentral:rRNA from 1 species
CCUACGGGCGGCAGCAGUGAGGAAUAUUGGUCAAUGGCCGGAAGGCUGAACCAGCCAAGCCGCGUGAAGGACGACGGUGCCAAGCAUUGUAAACUUCUUUUGUCAAGGGACAAAAUCAGGCACGAGAGCCUGACUGAGGGUACUUGAAGAAAAAGCAUGGGCUAACUCCGUGCCAGCAGCCGCGGUAAUACGGAGGAUGCGAGCGUUAUCCGGAUUUAUUGGGGUUAAAGGGUGCGUAGGCGGACUGUUAAGUCAGCGGUAAAAGUUCGGGGCUCAACCCCGGUGAGCCGUUGAAACUGGCUGUCUUGAGUGGGCGAGAGGUAUGCGGAAUGCGCGGUGUAGCGGUGAAAUGCAUAGAUAUUGCGCAGAACUCCGAUUGCGAAGGCAGCAUACCGGCGGCGAACUGACGCUGAGGCACGAAAGCGUGGGUAUCGAACAGGAUUAGAUACCCUAGUAGUC